UUGUAUCUAUUGACAGACCUGGAGCAACUACUGUUUGCUGCUAAGAUGUCCACUACAGGUGCAAGAAAAAAGUAUUCUUGCCCUUUCUGUCUUUCUGAUUAUGGCAGUCAAGAUUGAAUUAGGGACUACAGGA
ensembl:snoRNA